rnacentral:lncRNA from 1 species
UACAAGAAAUGCAAUCAGGGGGAGCAGAAUGACGCAGAGGAGUCUGGAAGCUCAGGGUUGCAUUAAGCGACUUUCCCAUAUGUGAGGAGAUGUGGUGGGGACCAUUAACUGUUGGAAGGAUUCCUUUUAAGGAUGCAUUAUAUCAAGAGCUAGAUAUCAGAGCCACUUGGGAGAAAUAAGAAACAGGUGUAGAAACAGAGGAUUGGUAGACAACAUGUUCAUGCAAAUGAUAUGAAGAAGAUUGGCACCUGGAAAAUCAAGGAAGAGGUGGGGCCGUGUAGGCAGAGACUUAAUUUUCUCAAGUGAAUGAAGAAAAAAGCACAUGGUGAGGCUGAUUCUGUGGGGAUGUAUUUGAGCUAGAAGAUUCAGGAGGGAAAAUUAGUUCUAAGACAAAGAUGGAGACAUCAAUAAGAUUGUGAAGUACUCAGACGUCAGAAGAAUUUGGGUUUGAAUCAGAAUUCCUUUACAUACUUUCUAAGUUUCAAGUUAAGUAGCAAUUCAGUGUUUCAAACCUUACGAUUGAUAAACAAAAAAUAAAA